GAUGAAGAACGCAGCGAAAUGCGAUAAGUAAUGUGAAUUGCAGAAUUCAGUGAAUCAUCGAGUCUUUGAACGCACAUUGCGCCCCCUGGUAUUCCGGGGGGCAUGCCUGUCCGAGCGUCAUUGCCGCCCUCAAGCACGGCUUGUGUGUUGGGCCCCCGCCCCCCGGCUUCGGGGGGCGGGCCCGAAAGGCAGCGGCGGCACCGCGUCCGGUCCUCGAGCGUAUGGGGCUUCGUCACCCGCUCUGUAGGCCCGGCCGGCGCCCGCCGGCGACCCCAAUCAAUCUUUCCAGGUUGACCUCGGAUCAGGUAGGGAUACCCGCUGAACUUAAGCAUAUCAAUAAGCGGGGGA
rnacentral:misc_RNA from 1 species